rnacentral:lncRNA from 1 species
CUUUUAACACUCUGGAUUUUGAGUUUAGAUCUAGCUGGAAAAUUAAUUAAAAAUUUGUUCUUUUGAAUGGUUGCAGUUGCUUGCAAAUCAAUGGAACCGAAGCUGGGGUGAUGUAAGUUGUUCUUCUCUCCGAUCAAACUUUUAAAUUUGACCUUCCAAGUAAACGAAACACAGAACCUGAGAUAUGAAUUGUGAAAAUUUCAGGAUGGUUACUUCAAGAUCAGGAGAGGAACGAACGAAUGUGGCAUUGAACACGGUGUUGUAGCCGGUUUACCUUCAGACAGGAACGUAUUUAAAGAUGUAACCACUUCAGAUGAUCUUCUGGUUUCCUCAUUUUAAACAAGAAGAUGUGUCUCUACUUCUUCUGUGAUACUAUAUACAACUGUUAAUAAAUUAGUUACCGAACUAAUGCAAUGAAUAAAUAAACAAUCAACAUGUUACAAAAAUACUUAUGACAUCAGAGAUGCAAAUUCCCCAAAUAAAAAGAAUAAAGGAAGGAAGUGUGAUUAGCAAUAGCAUGCAAGAGGACUGUUACAGUAUUUAUCGCCUAAAGUAAUCCCUUAAUUACUUUAAAUCAUUCGAAAUAAUGAUUAAUAAAUCAAGUAAGUAGAACAAAUCGAACGGUCAGGAUCUUCUAGCGAUCUGUCAUUCUCUAAAAGUCAAAAGAUAAGCCUCUUUAAUCUCUCUCUUUCUUAUUCCGUAUUAGAAAAGAAAACUUCCAUUAGAGAGAGAGAUACCUUGUCCAAACUCUCUGGCAAAUCAUUUGUUUGGUUUUUGGAGUUCGUUUAAGGGAUUGAGAAAAUAUCAACAGAAGAGAAAGAUUCAUGGCUGAUAAAUGUAUCAAACUUCACUUAGCCUCUGUUUUCUUCUUUUUAGGGCUUCUAAUUUCAUCCUUCAACUUGCAGGUACUUGAACCUUCAUAAUCUCUGUCUUCUUUUUACUUUUUCUGGGUUUGAUCAUUUUUGCUUAUUUGUUGGACUCUUUAAGCUACAAGUUUUAAACUUUUGAAGCUGGUUUGUCCCUUGAUCUCAGGGUAUUGCAGCAGAAAAUCUUUCCAAGCAGAAACUGACCUCAUGGAUUCUUCAGGUUUUUGAUCUUAAUCCACCCAAUUUUCUGUAUUGUUUUCGUCUCUUUUAGAUUGCCUUAUCGUUGAUGAUCGACUUUUGUAGAAUGAGAUCGUCAAGGAAGUCAAUGAGAAUCCAAACGCUGGAUGGAAAGCUGCUUUCAAUGAUCGGUUUGCAAACGCCACUGUGAGUUUCUUAUUAUUACCAAUUAAGAGCUACAGAGAUCUUAUCAAUGCUUAUCAAUGUUUCUGAAAAGUUUGUGUUUUUGUGUAUUAGGUUGCAGAGUUUAAGCGCCUCCUUGGUGUUAAACCAACACCAAAGACGGAAUUUUUGGGUGUACCUAUUGUGAGUCAUGAUAUAUCUUUGAAGCUUCCUAAAGAAUUUGAUGCUAGAACCGCUUGGUCACAGUGCACCAGUGUUGGAAGGAUCUUAGGUCUGUUUUCAUUUUUUUAGAUUUCCACUAUCUCUGUCUUUUAUCCAAAUUAUUUACUGACUCUUUUUAUGUUUUGUGUCAAAUUCUCUCCUCAAUUGUCUCACUAAAGAUCAGGUAAACACAUCAUUUGCUUGAGUUUUAUAUUGAACAGUGUGUUACUCAAGUGAUGAUAACAUUAUGGUUUUGGUUUGUUUAGGGUCAUUGUGGUUCUUGCUGGGCCUUUGGUGCUGUUGAAUCACUGUCUGACAGAUUCUGCAUCAAAUAUAACAUGGUAACACAGAUUUCUUAAUGAAGCCAAGAUUGAUGAUGUGUAGCGUCUUUCUUAUGGAAUGAUUAAUAUUAGUUUCUUUUGUUCCCAUGCAGAAUAUUUCUUUAUCUGUCAAUGAUCUCUUAGCAUGUUGUGGAUUCCUUUGCGGACAAGGUUGUAACGGUGGAUACCCAAUUGCUGCGUGGCGGUACUUUAAGCACCACGGUGUAGUAACUGAAGAGGUAAAUUCUCUUUUUACUGCAAUGAACAUAUAUUAAUGGCAAAGUAGUUAAAACGUAUUGAACUUUUGCAAUUUUCUUGGUUCUUCAGUGUGAUCCAUACUUUGACAAUACUGGCUGCUCUCACCCGGGAUGUGAACCCGCUUACCCUACACCAAAAUGUGCGAGGAAAUGUGUUAGCGGAAACCAGCUUUGGCGUGAAUCAAAACAUUAUGGUGUUAGCGCGUACAAGGUCAGAUCUCACCCUGAUGACAUUAUGGCAGAAGUUUACAAAAAUGGACCUGUUGAGGUUGCCUUUACUGUUUACGAGGUAAAUACUAGGUUUUAGAGUGAUCAAAGAUAUGAUUAUAUCAUGGAACUCCACAUUUUCAUGUAUCUUUUUGUUCUACAGGACUUUGCACAUUACAAGUCAGGAGUGUACAAGCACAUAACAGGUACUAACAUUGGAGGUCAUGCUGUUAAACUUAUUGGCUGGGGAACUUCUGAUGACGGUGAAGAUUAUUGGGUAUGAAUCCACUUUUGACGCUCUGGAUUUUGAGUUUAUUAGAUCUAGCCUAAAAAUUCACAACAUUUUCUGUUCUUUGAAUUGUUACAGUUGCUUGCAAAUCAAUGGAACCGAAGCUGGGGAGAUGUAAGUUCUUCUUCCUCCAAUCAAACUUUUAACUAUAACCUUCCAAGUGGCAACAUUAGAAUUCCAGAGAAACACACAGAACCUGAGAUAUAUAAUCUGAAAAUUUCAGGAUGGUUACUUCAAGAUCAGGAGAGGAACAAACGAAUGUGGCAUUGAACAUGGUGUUGUAGCUGGUUUACCUUCAGACAGGAACGUAUUUAAAGGUAUUACUACUUCAGAUGAUCUUCUUGUUUCCUCAUUUUAAACAGGAAGAUGUGUCUCUACUUCUUCUGUAAUACAUAAUUUGCCAGUGUGUUGUUGUUACCAAUGAAAUAAUUAAACGACUUUCGACCCAAAAAGAAGUCUAUUGUACAUAGCAUUUAGCUUUUUUUUUAUAUCCAAUAUAAUGUGUUGUUGUUUCCAUUGAAAGAAUCAAAAGACAUUCAACUAUUCUAUAUACUAGCAUUUAGCUUCUGUUCAUAUUCUAUUUUAUAUGUUUCCUUUUUUAUACAUUCUAGUUUCUACUGUGUUGUAUCUAUACUGUUUCAUUCUGCACUAUGUGUGACCAAUGGUGGAUACUUGAGGUUUCUCAGUUUACUAGAUUGCUCGGCGAUAAGCUGAGCAGUAGUAUUAGGACCUGCUUGCAUAAAAACCUCGUAGCCAUCACCUAACAGACCAGUUCUAUUGGUUGUAAGCUGCCAGAAAACUCCACCAGUACACGAACCACCGGUUCUUGCACUGUCGUAGAUGACAUCAUAAACUCUCUUGAAAAACUUGUUCCGUUUCUCUAAGCUGAAACCAGGAUACUUUGAAGAUUUCCCAAACUCUGUUAUCAGUAAAGGCUUCAUGAUGAUAUUGUUACAGUCUUCGAUAUGUGAUCCGAUCCAUCUGUCCACAAAUGUAUCUUGUUCUCCUGUUCUUGAGCUCUGUAAUGGUAGCCUGAUCUUGAUUUGAUACAGAGAGAAAAUGUGUUAAUAUGACAACAAACCAGAAAACACCAAUUUUGAUCCAUUGAAUAGAGAGACUGAUGACUUACCAAGAAUCCGGGUAGAUAUGGAUAGUGGCGAAAUCGAUAUCGGGAAUUUGGUUAUUGGAAAUGAAAUCUGUACCGGUUAAGACCCUCCCGCCGGGAUUGUAAACCGUUCUUUCCGGUAUAGAAUCUCCGUAAAACCCUUCAAGCCCUAUUUCCAGUAGAUGGAUUGAGUCUAUGGACUUAACAUAACUAGCCAUUUCCUUCACCCAAUUCUGCACACAAAACGACACCGUUUAAGUAUGUAUACGUGUACAUGUAACAUGCAGGCCCGGCUCACUCAUCGGCAAGACCCGGUGCCAUACAAAAAAAAAAAUUCUAUCUUUAAUAAAAAAAUUUGGAUAUAUUUCAUAAACUAUUUUGUAUUUUAUAGCUAUUUGGACCUAUUGUUUUUGUUUAUUAAUUUUGGGCUUCAAUAUUACCUUUUAAAAUAGAAUUUUGGGACCUUUACAUAUAGAUAUUUUAUAAAAUUUAAGCAUAAUUAAAUAGUUAAAUAAUAAAAAAACUAUUAAUUUGGACCUUAAAUUUGUUGGACCCAGUGCAAAUGCACCAGUUGCACGUGCAUAUAACCGGCCCUGGUAACAUGUUGCAUAAUAUUCACUUAUUCAGAGAGAGAAGAGAAAUAACCUGUAGAAUAUUCGAACCAGUGACAUUGCAGCGAGGCUCAUUGAUGAGUUCCCAUGAGAAGAUGGUCGGGUCGUCUUUGUACAUUCGACCAGUGAUUGUGUUUUUCCUCGUCAACACGGUCUGUUUCAUGGUUUUGUCAAACCGCCGGUUUAGUUUGAUUUUUAAGUCGGUACAAAUAUACAAAAUUCUAAAUAUGAUCUAAUCUUUGCAAAAAGAUAUUUAAUUUAAGGGACAUUCGUCAAUAAUAAGUUAAUAAACAUUUUUGGAUUGGUACAUUUUGUCGUACUUUGUUCAUAUUUUUAAUUGAUUAAAACCUAACUUUUGACAUUUCAAAACCGUCGGUUAUCUCGCGUUAACGUGUACAAAUAUAAUCUGAAUAUUUUUGCCAGUAACGUGUCGUGUUACAUAUGAUGAUGACCUCGAUAUCUUUUAACUGAUACUUAUCUAAUCAAAUAAGUAUAUGAGAUCAAUUUUUCAUAUUAUUACUAACCUUCACGUGGUUCUUGUAGAAUUGCUUGACAGCUGAGUUUGUAUAGAAUUCAUCCGGUUCAUCUAAACCGGCCCAUUCUACGUACUUUUUUCUCCCUCCAUAGUCUUCGUAAUUAUUGACUAAACUAAUUAUCAAUUUAAUUUUAAACCUUCCAGCUUCAUAGACGACAAAGUCUAGCCCCUGCUGGCACAAAAACUUUGUAUCAAUUACUCAUAAAACGCAAUUAUAGUCUGCUUUUAAUUUAUCUAUUAAUAAAUUAAGAUAUUUUUAUUAGGUCAACAAAAAGGUAUCUAGUACCAAAUUCUGCUUCUAAUUAUGAUUAAGAAUAUUAAAUUAUAUCUAUGCUUUUGCCAUUUUUGUGAUUAUCCACUUUUAUAUUAGCCUAUGAAAAAGACACGACUAUUUUUUUCAAGAAACAACCAAAAAAGUUUGAAGUUCGUUUGUCGGAAAGUAAUAUUUUGAAAUUCGAAUCAUUCAAUUUAGAUUCAACAAACAACGGUCAUCCAAAGAUUAAUAUACAUGACCAUAACAUAUUAUAUACCGGUAAAUAUUUCUUUAUAAUUCCGUAUAAUAGUGAAUACAUAAAAAAUAAUUAAAUAAAUAUGUGAGAUAGAAUGAUAAAUUUAUUAAAUCAGUAAGCUAACAGAUCAAAUCAUGAUAAAAAUAUAUUAAUUUGUUGUAUAAUUGAAAAAAAAUAUGAAAUUGUGAUUUCAUCGUUUUUGCAAUGAGCCAUCAAAGUUCUUAAAAUAUAAAAUAUACGUGUGGUUUACAAAAAAAAAAAAAAAUGUGUGUAUGUGUAUGCAUGCGUGUUACCUUGAAAACGUCUUCACUAUAGGAGCCAGGAGAGAUCUGAAGAGGAAUGUAAUCUCCUUCGUUGAAACCCCAAAUCCUAGCGACGUUCAUUCCCACGGCAGAUGCUUGCCGGAGCGCCGUCGUGACAAUACCCCUUCCUUUAGCCGCCGUGUCAGCCGCGGUGGUCAUCAUCCAAUAAGCAUUGAAGCCGUUUAAGUAAACUUGUUCUCCGUUCAACACGAACUGCGUGCCGUUUCUCCCGACGAAACCUGUAUUUGCGGCGACGCAAAUGCGGUUGUUUCCGAUGAGAAACGGAAGAAAGAAAAAGAAAAACAGCAAGAUGUUUAACAUUGUGAUUUGUGAAACGUUUGCCGACUUGAAGAAAAGAGAAUGACACAACAUAGAACUUUAAAGACAUUUGUGUGUGUUGUGUUAUAUAUAUACAUUACAGAUGUCUUACUGCCUACGCAUUUGAAUACUAUUCAUUUUUGUCACCAUAUUGCCUACGUUUAAUUGAAAAUAUGUACACGGAACGCGUGAAAUUUAGAUAGAGUUUUUUUUAACGUUUAGCAAAAUCAUUUUUGAACUUGUAUUCUUGGGUUAAGAAAACUAUUAGUACUUUAUAUACUGAUACAAUUUUUCUUUUUAUUUUUUUCAAAAUAAUGAGAGGUUUUAUUUUUGGCUUAAAAGCGUACUAUUUUUCAUUUCUCCAUUAAAAGGGUUUCAAAUUGUUAGAUUUAAAUAAACUAUAAAUUUUCUUACAGUGAAAGUUUAAGGAAAUUAUUUUGGCAAUUGGUUUUAGAAUAUAUAGAUGAUACGAAGUCGAAAUAAAAUGAUGAUACUAAAAUUAUUUACUUUUGAAUGUAAGCAUGACACGCAUGUGGAAUGGAGCUAUCAUACUUUAAGUUAGUACAUAUGUAAUGUAAGAUUAUUUUUAUUUCAUUAGGUCGACGACUCAAUCAUAUAAGAUGAAUUAUUGAAUUUAAAUUCUCAACAGAAAUAAUUAUUGAAAUUGAGAAACUUCACAUGGAUUUUGUACUCUCAAAAAAUUGAUUCGAGACUUUUUUAGGAUGCUCUGCGUUUUAAAACGCCGUCGUGACAAUACCCCUUCCUUCACAUGGAUUUUAGAUACUUUUUUUCUCUUCUCGGGCCCAUUAUGUUUUUUUUUUUUUUUACAUCUUUGGAUCGACAAGGCCCGAUCCAUAGCCAAUCCCUACUACGCGGGGUAACACGACUUAGUGGAGUCAAACUUCGGUGGGGAAGGCGGAGUCAAAUGGACUUAACCACUUGACUAAAGGCACAUCUCCCAUCUCCCGGGCCCAUUAUGUUUAGACUUUAAUUAUUUAAACUUGUCUAGCAAAUAACUAGGGAAUUUGGGAUGAUUAACAAAUAAAUAAUUUGGUCUACACCAUGUGAAAAUGAGAUCUAAGAUGGGCCAUUCUCUUCUCAAGUUUUGUUUCACGUUAUUGGGCCUUUGAUAAAGCCCGUAAAUUUUGUGUGCCAAGUUAAGAAUGUAGGAGAUGCAGGUGAUAUUUCCCAAGUAUGGAUCAAAAGGCUCUAGAAGCAACAAAUUGGCAAAGUCUCUCACUCAAAAUCCAAACCAGCAAUGGGAAAAUCAAGACACCACUUUCCUUCGAAUUGGCAGUUUGGUCAGAGCUUUAACAGCAACUUAAACUUCUGAAAGCACAUUUUAACUAUGGACAAUGUAAAUAAAGAUUUGUUUUCUUUAAUGAAAUGUUACAGAAUUCCAGUACAACAUAAAUCUAACAUCCAAAAGAGUGUUACCCGGUCAAACAUGAAGUCUGCAAACAUGCUUUUACUUUUAUCUUCGCAUUACACGAUUACGCUCUCUCUUGCGAAAUCGUUCUAACAUGAUUUGAUCAGUUGCUGCUUGUCUGCUUUUCCCUGAGUCAGCAUUAUUGUUACUACUGCUAGUAGAAGGUUUAGCUCCUUCACCAUCCGCUUGAGGUCCACCUCUAUCUUUGUAUAGCUCAGGAUGCUCUGCGUUUUAAAAGUUCAUAUCGAUCAAUACAAGAAUCAACACGAACAUGGACUAACAAAUGGAACAAAAGAGAAAAAGGAGUCAUAAAGCAAAACCUCUUCUAAGCUUCUCAGCAUAAUCUUUUCCACGUUGGAAGUAAUCCGCACUAUAACUAGACGGAAUGCUAAACUCUGACUUUGGCCGACCCAUAAGCCUCCUCUCUUGCAGAAGCUUCUUGGCAGCUUCUGUUUCUUCAAUGUUCUUCAGCUUGUAUCUAAAUAUUAUCCAUCCAAAAAAAACCAUUAAUCUCUAAAAUACUCAAAACACAUGUAUCUUCAAUCUAUGAUUGAGAAUGUAUUCAUACUCGAUUGGGAGUUGGACUUCUGCUAUUCCGGUAGUCCACUGCGUCGAGCUCUCUUCCGAGCUCCGCUUCUUAACCUGAGAAGGAAGGAAGGAAGGCUUUCAGUAACUAAUAACAAUCUUAAUUCCUGUUACACAUAAAUACUAAAAACAACCACAAAGCAACUUACUUUAAGAUGAUCAGGUAUCUUAUAUAACUCAUCUUCCACUCGCUUCAAUUCGUUCUCAACCUCCUCUGCAUCAUCAAUAUUCUUCCCCCUUUUCUUCGCCAAUUCUUGUUCAAUGUACUUUACCCUAAUGAAUCAAAACAAUCUUCAACGCUUACAAAGACAGCUCACUCUAGCUUAACCUAUUUUACUACCAAGAAAAUUAGGGCAAAACUUGUAAAGAGAUGCUUACAUGUUGGGAUCUUCAAUCAAAACAGCAGUCUCUUGAGCAAAAGUAUCUUGCAACACAAGCUCCUCUUUCUCUCCUUCAGCUUCAGUUUUCUCCACUGGUUUCACUUUUCCGAUGCUAGAUUGCGCCGUAGAUAAAGCUGGGAUCCCUAAUUUUCUCUCUCUCAGCUUCUGCAGAAACUUCACCUCCUCCAACGCUAAUCUGUAGAUCAACCAAAAAUCAAACCUUUUUAACAACCCAUCAAAUUAAUGGAAGAAACUCAAACGAUAAAACUCCAAAAGAAAAAAAAAACCUAAAGAUGGUGAGACUGACCUUCGCUUCUCUUCUUCAUCUGAAAUUGCGGCUUUGUUUACAUCAUUAUCUUCCUCUUCCUCCUCGAAGCUACGCUUCCUGAAAUUUCUCUUCGGUGGCAUCGCAGACAGAAACUAUCGGAUUCUUGAAAGAGCUUCUGGGACUUGAAUAGUGAAGAAGAAGACGACGACGACUCUAAGCUUUUAGAUUGAUCUGAAUUCUGAAAACACACUCCGUCGGCUAAAAUCACCAGCGAAACGCAUCGUUUUAAUAUGGGCCCUAUUAGUUAGCCCAUUAUAUAAUUUUUUUAAAACAUUUAAAUAAGAUCAUUUUAUAUAAUUUAUUACGGGCCAUAUUAGUUAGCCCAUUAUACAUUUUGCCAGGCCCACGUUAGCUUGUAUUCAACUUAAAAAGUGUGCAUCACUAGUCCAAGCUCUUGGACGAACACUUGAUCUCCAAGCAAGCAACCCUGCCUUAAUCUAUAAACACUUAGCCUUUUAACGAACCAAUAGUCUCUCAUCCGUAGCGACAGAUCAAAACCCUAAGAUUACCGAUCAAUAGUCUCUAGCUUUCUUGAUCAAUCCGUCAAAACCAACCAUGGAUGGUGCAUAUAUAGUUCUCACAAUUCAUCAGUUAGGAUCUCUCUCCACCGAAAUUGUCUUCUUGUUUUCUUUUGUUGCUUUGCAUCUGUAGAUCCGAGAUUGACUGUUGGGAAUUUCAUGUGACGUUUUAAGUUAAUAAUGGUUUAUACAUUUUUUCUCACAACGAUAAAAAUCACAUCAACAAGAUAAUCACAGUAAUACCUUCUUCUUUUUUUUUGUCAAUUACAGUAGUGUUAAAGAUAACCUUUCUAGGUUUCUCUCAUCAUAACCGGUUACAAUAUAUAUUCAUGUUUUAUUUGUUUGAUAAACUUUCAAGAAUUACUUUUUAGUGGCAAGCCUUUCCUUAAUCUUAUCAACCAUCUUAGACCCCACCUGAAAAGUCUUAGUCAACACAUCUUCCGGCAAAGCAGGCUCCGCCGCAAAUAGGGUUGCCGCAACGGAAACCGUUCCGGGCAACUGACUAUUAAACGCCGACAGAACAGAAGCCGGAGAUUUCCCAUUGUUCUUCUGAAAAUGCACAAGCCCUCUUGGAAAAACGAAAACUUCACCAAUCUUAAUGGUUUUAGUGAAAAGCUUAUUCGCCGUCGUGAUAAAUCCAACUUCGAGCUCUCCUUCGAGGACGUAGACGACUUCGGUGGCGCGUGGGUGAGUGUGCGGUGGGUUUAAACCGCCCGGCGCGUAGUCUAUACGUGCUAAGGAGACGGAGAGAGUGUUGAGGCCUGGGAUCUUCUCUACGUUGGCUCCAGUCACGGCGGAACCCAUAGUGGAGUUUAUGGCGGCGGGUUUUGAGAUUCCGGCGAAGAAGAAGUCGGACGCCGUGAUGUUUGAUGUUUCCUUGCAUGGGAAUCCAUUCAGUUUGGUUCCUGCCAUACGCACAUCGUGGCCAUAAGAUAGUAAGUCAACUUAGAUUUUUUUUUAGUCAACUUAGAUUUAUUGGUGCAAUUAAUAUUCCCACAAAAUAUCUUUGGAAAAAAAAACAAAAUCUCUAAUUUCAACAUAUGUAUUAAUUUUACUUUUGGUUUGAAAUUUACAUAAAAGGUUAAUAAAGUUUGAGAUGAUCCUGAUAGAUAGAUAUUAAAACAUGACGAUAGAUUGAAAAUUUGAACUAAGAUAAUUUCUACCGUGAGAUUUAUCGGCAACGCAGAGAUCUUGAAGAGCGUCGGGAUCGUAUGCACGAGUUGAAGUGAUAAUGCAAGAUAACACAAUGAUAAUAGAAAUUCUCAAAUUCAUCAUGGCUCCAAAUUAAAUAUUCGUGAAAAGAUGGAUUUUAUUUAACUAUGAAAAAAGAAGCUUGAAGUUUUGAUACUUAUAGAAUCUUAGACCAGUUUGAUCGACAAGUCAUUUGCUUGGCGAAGAAAAAAACCGAACAUUUUCAUUUGUCUUGAAUACCAAACUAAGAAAUGUACGUCAUAGCUAAUUAGUAGGUAAAACGAUGCCUUUCUGACAUUGUUUUUCACUAAAGCAAGUCUUAUUGAGACAAAAGGAUUUUUGGUAAAAGAAUGUGUAUGUAUGUGUGUGUGUAUAGACAGAUUGUUACUUUAAACAAAAUAUAUGAAUUGUGUCUCGAUUGUUUCCGACGUCAUAUUUCUUGUGUAUGUGUGUGUGUGUGUUUUACAUGAGAAAACAAAACAAAAUAAUAUAUUAUUUCAAGCUUUAAAAUAGAAAAAAUUCCCAGUUUCCAAAACAAUAAUUUUGGAAAUUUUUGUUUGCUUAUGUUUAGGUUUAGUAUUUACGGCUAUAAGCCUAUAACUAACAAGGAAAUUUUCUAAAAUCUUUUCAAGGUACGGGUUUAUUUAAAACAAUAUACACUAAACGCAAACACAUACCCAAAUGAAAUCAUCAAUGUGUUAUGUGUAAGAAAGUGUUUAAUAGUUCUCGAAGUCAAGUUUUCUCAUUUCUUAUUUUCUCAUACACCCUAUAACUUCUAAGUAACAUGCAGUGUGCAGAGGUGAUUGAAUGUUACUUUUUGUAUACAGCAUUAUCAUAGUGUAUACUAGUAUCACCCAGUGGGCCUGAAUUUGAGAUGCUGAUGAAGAUAAAGCUCAUUGGGAUGUAACCAAUAUUAUCAGAGACACUAAAAUAAGGGAAAUGCUCUUAUUUCCCUUGUUCCUACGUCCAAUGCUCGUCCAAAGGAUCGGAUGUCUCGAUAUAUUUUACAAAUAUCAGAUAAAUAAAAAAAAAUAUAAUGUUACAAGAAUUUAUACAACUUCGAACUUAUCGUAUGACACAAAGGCCUCAAAUAAAAAAAAAUAAAAAAAAAUUAAAAAUAAAAAAAAGGCCUCACAUAAAUUGUCAUAUUUUUUUUUUUUUUUAACAACGUUUACUUCACAUAAACUUUUCUGGAGCUACUUACUUAUCAUAGUCUUCUCAUCGCAUGGGAAGAAAAAUCUAGGAAACUUGGAAAACAAGGAACCAAACCGUGAAGGCAUUGAGGAGAAGAAGCUGGUGGUGGUGUUGUAAGAAAGAGAGGUUGAUUAGGUGAGUGUGGGAAUGAAAAAUUAGUAAACGGUGGUAAUGGCCAAUUUGACGCCGGAAUCAACUGUGACGACAUCAUUUGAUUCGCCACAUUUUGCCGUGCCACAGCCAUCGCAGUCAACUGGUGGUUGUUCAUUAUUCCAUAGUCUAAUAUAGCCGAAGGAAAAUAAGGAUUCAUCCCCAUCAUUGACAUCACCUGCAAUUACAACAUCAACUUUGGUUACAACUUAGUUUCUGAAUAUAUAUAUAGCACAAAUUUUAUGUCCAAAUUGAUAAUAGGUCUAGACUAGUGGAACAAUAACGCAGUGGCUACCGUAUAAAACAUUUAGUUGGUAAACUUAAUGAAAUGCAAGAUUAAAGAAAUUUCAAUCAAUAUAACAUGUUCUUUUAUAUAACUAAUAUAUAUAUAUCACACUUGUUUAUAGUUAUUUUCAUGAUUUAAUUUUGAGCAUAAAAUAAUAUUAAUGAGUAGUGCGAUAUUAAAAUUGCAAACAUAGAAAAUAGAUUGUGUAGAAUGUUUUUCUUUAAAAAAAAAAAAAGAAUGUGUAAAACGUCUAAUAAUCAUCUAAUCGACCACCUCAAACGUGUGAUUUGAUUAGGUAGGUUAUAUACUGUCUACCCUAACCCCGAUAUAUGAAUCAUAACACCCAAUCCUCCCGGAUGAUCACCAACAAGUAAAUGUGUAAAUAGGAUCAAGGAUACUGAAUAAGGUUAAAAUAUAGACCUUGAAUUGAAGCUGAAGACUUUUCAUAUACUCAAUGGCAUUAUCGAGAACUGAAACCUUGUCCGUCUGAAAACCAAAACAAAGAAAACACCGCUGGUUAUUGGAAAACAAAAUGUAAGGCAAAGAUUCCUUGAAACAUAUAUAUAUGGAACUUUAUACACACAAAAAUGCAUAGUAACAUGUUAUAUAUAUAUAUAUAUAUAUUAAUAUAUAUCAACCUUGUGACAAUCAGGUACAAGUUGCUGUAGCGUACGCAUCUUAUUACACAGCUCGUCGCUUCUUCUUCUCUUGGAACCUUUUCGUAUCACUGAAGGAACUUCUCUAGUAAACCCAUCUGAUUCCUCCUGAAUAAAAAAUUUCCAGUGAAACAAAAUUUUAAAAACAGUCAAAACUAAUAUAUAAUACGUAACAAGGAAAUAUAUCGACUUACAUCACUGAAGACCUGGCUACGACGCCGUUUUGGUUUCUCAUGUUUGUUUCUCAAAUAAUAUCGAUUAUCUGAAAUAUGAUCAUGAUGAUCACCAGUUUCAGAAUGUUCAUCUGGGACAACAACCAACAAAUCUGUCUUAGGUACUUCUUCUUCUACUUUAUGAAUCUCUGGAACAAGUUGGAGAUGAUUAUCUGUUUGAUCAUGAUCAAAGUAGUUGUCGUAGCUCCAUUUUAAGCCGUGAAUUAGACGAUCUUCAUCACUUCUUCCCUUUUCUUCUAUAUCAUGAUCUUUCACAGCAAAUGAUCCAACGUCGUUUCUCCAUCCUAGUUCCAUGAAAUCUUGAUUAUUGAACCUACAAAAAGUAGUUUAACUGUUAGGGUUUACGAGAUUACGGAUAAAAAGAAAAGAUACAAGUGGAAUCGUAAGACUCCGAAACCUCUCCCUUAAUUAUACGUACAUGUUAAUUAAAGAGAAAUCGGAGAUGUAAAACUCGAGAAACUAUUCUUUUUCAGGGACUUGAGAUCUGUCUGAUAAAAUGGAACCCCAUAAGAUUAUGAUAUAGGUCUUAUUAUAGGAUACGAUCGGAGAUCGGGAGAUGGAUAUAGUACAGCUAUUAACUCAACCAUCGAACCACUUAUGUUUUGCCACGUUUCGUAUUCUAAAUGGUAAUUCUUUUUUUUAGAAGUUUUCUUUCUUUCUUUAAACGGGACACCGACAGCAAUAAAAACAAUUCAAACUAGAUUUUAAUACUAGUACUAACGCGUUGUUAGACAUAUUUUUGUCACUUGAGAUCAAACUGAUAUUUCCUGUGUUGUUUUAUGAUAAAAAAAAUUCUAUUAAAACAAUGUUAUUUGAAAAUUUAAUGUAUUUUUUUCAAAAAGAAUAGUAUUUGUUUGAAUAUAAAUAUAAUUAGACACACCUAACGUUAAUAAAUAAAAAGUUGGACAAAAUAACAUUAAUAAAUAAAUAAAGUUGGAGAAAAAAAAAUCUAAAACAGGUAUAUGAAAGAAAUCUUUGACGGUACUAGAUACUCUUGCUUUAUAUGGGUAUGUAAUUCUGUUUUUAAUUAAUUAUCCAAAACGAAGCAUACUUGUGUAAUGAAUUUAGACUUAACUAAAUAACAGUAAAACUUUCUUCCCCAAAAAUCUACGCAUGCAAGUAUACAACGUCUUAUAUGCACACACGCACACAUAUAUGUAACGAUUUUUUUAAGUAAUCUUAUUGGUUAAUUAAUACUCGGGCAUGUGAAAGAGGUAUAAAUCUAUCAAAUAAUUUGAGUGACAUUUAAUUUUGAUGUUUUCUCCUUCAGCUGUAAUACAUAACGGGUAGGACCAUAUUUAUCCUUUUAAUUAACUUUCCCGUAAUGCUUAUCAUUUCAUCCUUGACUAGUCGUAUACUUUAUCUUAGUACAAAAAAAUAUCUAUAAUAGAAAAAUAGACGCCUUAAGAAAUCUCAAAAAUAAAAACAUUAUAGACGCCAUUUGUUUAGGUGAUAAGAGCAUGAUUAAUAAUGAUUGCUUAAAAAUAGUUAUUAAGAGUAUUAAAAUAAUAAAUUUGUAAAAGUAACAUAUGGAUGGAUCUUAAUGUUAAUUUUGGUUUUUAGCUAAGCUACUUUAGCUUUGGAUCUUAGUCUUUAACAAGAUUUUUCUUUAAUUUUUUAGCUAAGAUUUAUCUAAGAAAUGAUUAAGACACCACCUACAAUGGUGGUCUAAGCGGUCCCUCUGAAAAGCUCAACCCAAAACUUUUCGUAAAUAAUGAAAUAAAUAGCAAUAUUAGUUAUGGAGCUGUUUAUUCAUUUUACCAAAUAGAUGGUUCUAUACAUAUUACCUAUUUAAGUAUUUGUGGGUGUUUAUGAUAUUUCAUAUCUAAAAGAAUUUACAUAAUCAUAAUUCUGCUGUUUUAUUCUUUCUCUACGGUGGACCAUCGAUUAUUUUUCAAGUGAGAGAUAUACAUUUGGAGAAUUAUUUGGGUUGUUGAAAAGAAAAUCAUUUUAGACUUUUAUCCAAAAAACCCACGUGGUCUCUGGGUCCUAAGCCUAUUCUAUAAGCGAAUCAGUUUUUUGUUUUCUGAAACCCACACGACACAUUUAUUGGAAUUUUAGAGACACGUCGUCAUCAAUCACACACCAAGCAGGUGCGAUGGUCCACACUAUUGAUUCAAUAACCAAAACUCAACAAUAAUUACAACAUACUGUAUUUUGUAUUACAAAAAUCAUGGUCCACAUAAACCUUUUUUUUUUUUUUUUCUGUUAAACGGGCUUGCAAUGUCCACAUAAAUAAAACUUCUUUAUGAAAAAAACUCCAAUUAUUACCACAUAUUCUUCUGUAUAUAACAAAAAUCAGAAUAAUAUUAACGCUUUAACAGACCAACAAAAGAACACCAAAUAAAAAAUUAUUCCGGGUAUUUUGUGAAUCAUUAGAAAAGAAGGAAAUAUUUUGUUAAGAUAAUGUUUAAUAGUAACUUUCUGCGUUGAAUCAAAUGGGCCUGAAGAUCCUAAAAGAGAGGAAGAGAAGGCGUGUUGUUCACGUGAUGCCCUCGUGAUGGACAUGCUUGUGUCUCUGACACUCUUGGGUACUUUAUAUUUCGUUGGUGUCUUAGCGAGCGACGAAGCAAAACCACAGCCACUCCAUGUAUCCAUCUCCUAAACGACAACGACCUCUCGGAAUAUACAUUCCAAAAUCCAAUCUAAUCUUAGGGGCCAUUCUUUUUUUUCUCUCGUUCCAAUCCACUUACACAGUAAUCAUGAAAAAACGUUUAUGCCACUGAUUCUAUUUUUUUUUUUUUUUAAAUAGAAUUUCUCCCAUCAUUUUCUCUUGGAACUUUUAUAGUGAACUAAUUCCAUCACACACACGUCCCAACCCGUACCGUACAUUCAUUUUUUAAUAAAGAUAUCAUAUAUAUUCCUGGAAAAAAUAACAUUUUAAGAAUAACAUUACAGGUAAAACUUUAGUCACAAAAUAUACGAUUCCAAAGAUAUUUAUGAACCAAUUAUUUGUUGAAACUUCAAUCAUACUAGUUUUCAUUUUUUUCAAAUGAAACGAAUAGCAAUUCUGGCUUGUUCCGGUCUGAAUUUAGGUUUGGAUUUGGUUUGGUUUUAGUCAAACAAAAAUGUCAAAGAUUUGAAUGUGAUUACAACUAUUUUUAAAAGAAUAGUUAAAACUAUAAUUUUUUUUAAUAAAUGUUGGUUUGGUUUGAUUACCAAAAUGAAAAAUGUAUCUCUUUUUUUCUCAAAAGAAAAGGGAAAAAAAAAAGAAAAAAAAAACAGAGUAAAAUCACAUCCGUGCAGGUUUAUCCAUAUAUCCAAAUAAGAUUUGGAGCCAUGGCCCAUUGGAGAGACCAUCUGAAGCAAUAUAUGACUACAAAAAAGAAAAUGAUAAUUUAACCGAAAUAUCGAUUGGGCUUUUUUGGUUGGGCCUAUAUGAAUAACCCAAAUAGCGAUCAGUUAUUGGUCUUUCGUUUCUUGAAUUUGAAGCCUCUGGUUCACCAAGAGUCUCUUGGUUUGUCUCCUUCUCGUGGAAAUUAUCUCUCUCUUCUCCGUCCGGCGGCGACGCAGCCAUUUUACUCGUCAUUCUCCAAGCAAAACCCUCCGUUGCGUGUUGAGAAGUCUCUUAAUCUCCGUUGUUCUGUAGCCUGUGGAUCUUCUAGAAUCGAAGGCGGAUAGGUAGUACCGUGAUGGCGGAUUGCGUGAUCUUCGGCGGAGGAAAUUGUGGAGGUCCCAAUUGUUUUCAGCCAUCUGAUUUUAAGCUCACUAUAGUGGUACGGUAAUGCAACAUCGAAAUUCGCUAAAUUGUUCACUUUUCAAUGCAAUUUCGAUUUUGUUCAUGAAGCGUUAAAUGAGGCUAUAGAUUUGACUUUGAAAGCUGUAUUCAUGAAGUUAUCUACCGAACAAUUUGUGUUGUAUCUUAUAGUUUAGUUUACUAUAAGAGAGAGAGUUUUGGUAGAAUGCUCUUUCUUUUGUUUAGUGGAUUUAGCCUUCUCGUUGGUGAGAACCUUAUGUGCCAAUGUUCGUGUAAUGGAAUGGGCUUGGUGCUCUUGGCAUUCGACCACCACCUCUAAUUUGUGUUCUGACUAAAACAUCUCCCAUAAAGUUGGGAUUUUUCUUCUUCUUUGUUCAUGUUCUUAGAGUUUGGCAAAAGUGACUGGGUCGUGGGGAAUCUGUAGAAGACUUUGUAAGGCGUAACCUUGGUGAUGAGGUCUUUUGAGCGCUUAAUUGAAACAUUUUUGUUUAGGUUGUGUGAUUAAUAGGAGUUUCUUUGAACUUCAAUUCGUACCAGUCUUCUUUUGUUUAUAACCUGGUGCUCACAAAAUCUGGAUGCUCUGCAUUUUUCUGCAUUCAGGUGUUUAUGCUGGUGAUCCUUCAUAACUGAGUAUUAAAGCAGACUGGAGGAGAAUGGUGACAGCAUCAUUGGUGGUACUUUGAAGGCAAUUCAGGAGAGAAAUAGAGCUCCCAAGGAAAACCGAGACCCGUGCGUAAAGCUUACUAUUCCAUGAUGUUCUUCCUUUUCUCUUAACAUGAUACUGCAGGCACUUGCCAAAGCAAAAGGGCCAAACAGUUUGUUUUAUAUGCAAAUGUGUUUGUUUUCUCUCCCCCUUCUCGAUGAAAACAAUGCAAAAGCUUGUAAACACUUCGUUAUGUUGUUUUUUUAUUUGGGCAGGUUGGGUAGCAAAGUUAAGGUGUCUUGGAAGCUCUCAAGUAUUACUAAGCUGAAACUCCAGAAAGGAUCUGUACAGAGCAAAGUGUAGUGAUGACUGUCCCAUCUCAUUUGCUAGUAGUCUCUUGCACCCACUCUAUGUAAGUUUCUUGUUUUUUCAAACCAGUUAUGUGCAAAUUCGAGUAGAAUAUGCUAACGGGUUCUUAUUUUUCUGUCGCCAAAAUUCCUUUCUUCAAGCUUGUCAGAUUGAAUAUGUACACUUAAACUAUGACAUCUUAAAUCAUGUGGAUUUGUAGAAUUUCCCAAUGAUGAGUGACUUGAUGAUAAAGUUGCUGAAGCUGUGUCAUUCAUCAUCUGGUCAUGAUGGGAUAUUCUUGGGUGGCAAUUAUGAUGCUGCUGGUGUAGCAUUGGGUCGGUGUGUGGAAAGGACUUACGAAACUGCAACCCAAGUCAAUGAUUUCAUCUCUAGGUACGCUUACAAGUAACAAAAAUACUAAAAAUAGCCAAAUAGAUAUUAAGAUUGCAGUUUAGACUUUGACAGAGUAUGUGAAGGUUCCAUUAAUAUUCUCAUAAGUAUUACUAUAAGUUGUGGCCAAAAGAGCAAAAAUUACACAAAGCGGGAGAAAGAUAGUAGAAGUCUAGAACAAAUCGAUCAUAACUCUUGAAUCUUGAGGAUCUUCGUGAAGAGGUGAGAUCUUGAAACUGUCGAGUCUUGGAGAUUUCUGUUGCUGCGUGUAAUGGGAAGAUGAAGAAGAAGAAGAUGGUGGGAGAAUCAUGGAGGACGAAGAAGGGAAUUCAGGGUUUGUAGGGUGAAGGAUUUGUGUGAGUAGAAGAACAAUUGACGCCAUUGAUGAUCAACUUCGAAGAAAGCUUGUGUGUGUGAUUAGGGUUUUGGAGUAGAUUUUGUCUUCUCAUGUGAUUCUUAUCUGUCUUUAUAUAUAGAGAAAAAAAGUGUGGGCCUGUGGUAUUGUGGAUCGAUGAUGUGUCUGUGUUUUAGAAUCCAGUGGGACUCUUAAAUCUUUGGGUGGCAAGUGGUUUUUGUCUGACUUUUGUGUCGCAUUUAUAUCUCGCCCCCAAAACCAGCUGUUCCACGUGGCUUAGGAUUCUUCUUCUUGGUUUUAAUUUUCUAAUAAACAUUAACCAUAAGAUAAUAAAUCAAGAUUUUUAACUUUUCUUGAAUACAAUCUACAAAAACAUUAAUUUUCCCUAUGCUUACAAAUUAGAAAGCAGAAAAAGAACUCGAAUAACAAAUACUCUCUUCGUUAUUUUAUAAAUGAUAUUUUACAAUGUUUUCAGUUUUUAUUGCAAUAUUAAUUAGUUUUUUAUUGGUUUUGAUGAUUUAUAUUAUACAGAUUAUUUUUCUAUUGGUUGAUUAGAUAAUACAUGAUGUUUUUGUUUAGAAUUAAAUAAAUAUUAAAUGAUUUCUUAAUUUAUGUGUAUUCUUUUAAAACAUCAUUUAUAAAAAAAAACGGAUGGAAUAUAUUAAAUAAAGUGUAGCCAACAUAAUGUUGUUUGUUGGAGAUGUAUUGUGAGACAAAAUCAAAACAUCAAGAAAUACCAUAGGAAUAACUUUGUGUCAAUUAAUUUUUUAUUAGGUAGUAGUUGAAACUAAAACCAUCAAAUCACAUUAAAUGGAAAGACGACCCAUAGAUAAAAAUACAUUAUUCAAUAUAAACCCCUACAUGGCUCCAUGUGUGGGGGCAAUGACAUAAACACACAUGUUGACUUUUGUUUAUAAAACAUUACAUACUUAUUUCGGGUCAACCAAAUUGAUUGUUUAAGCAUAGGGCCUUUGAUUUUCACAGUCCAAAUUAGGCCCAGUUGCUACUUUAAACAGCCCAGUAUAUCUCUGAAAAAACCCGAUCCGGUCAUUGACCCGCCCGUCUCCAGGAAUCCCACACUCUAAACCGCCGUUUAUUAUGUUUGUGGUUAAACCAAAACCGCUGGUCCGGUUAGCCGCCAAAUCCGCCGCCGUAGGUCGGUAUUUUCCGAUCAUGACGUCAUGGCACGACGGUUUGGGACUCUGCGGCGUCAUCCAAAACCAAAGAGCUGUUUGGAAAGCUAUCACUGAAUUAUUUGACACCGUUUCUGGAUUCUUUAGACCGUCAAAUCCUAGAGCUCGACCGGCCGGUCCGUAAUUGUAGUUCCUUUUAUCCCCAAAAAAAAUUGGUAAUUAGAAACACUUAUGAUGGAAAAUCGGAUCUUGCAUUGAUAUAAUUUUAUUUAUCUCUAAUAUAGCCGUUGCUUUGGUGAAUCACUAAUAUAUGACUCUAAUUCUCUUGACUUGUGUAACAAAAAUCAGAUUUUCAUUUUCAAUGGAUUCUUAGUUAUGUAUUUGUAUAAAUACUUUGCAGGUUGCGGAUAACCUAAAUUUUACAAAGGAUUUUUUAACAAAUAUAAAACCGGAUCAUAUCUUUCAAAUUAUUACCACGUCUACCAUAAUUCUCAGUUGCAAUUAUUAUAUACUCGUUUACUUAAUUAUGAUAUAAUAUACGGACCAUUAUUAGUGAAAAUGAACCUACCACGAUAGUUGAAUUGGACCUCUUCCUUGAUAAGUCUUGUUAGGGAAACAAGGCCACUGCGUAUUAGAAGAAUCACAAUAAUUGCUUUGUGGACUCACUUCUUCUUUAAAGCACAAUCCCCAAGCGUACGGUCCGUCUGGUGCCGUUGCCCAUCCUCCUGUCGUUUCGUGUGAAAUCUGAGCCAAAAACGCAGCCACUUCGAGCCGCUGUGUCGCGGGGCUUCCUAUGCUCGCGAAUCUCGGAAACCGCCUCGUCGCCUGCACGAAGGAUUCGUAAGUGUAGAAACCGUUUGCGGGACAAGCAGUAUUGUCCUUGUGGAUGAAAAUUUUGUAGUAGAGGUCUCUUGGCACCAAUCUCUCGAUUGCGGUGGCUUCGGUUUGGCAGGAAGAUAGUAAAUAAGAGAUUGAGAGGAAGAAGCAUAAGAGGAGAAUAGAGUGUUGAGCCAUUUUUGGAGGGAUCUUGGUGGUUUUGGUGUAAGAAGACGAGUCUGUUAUAUAGAUGUGUAAAUGAUCAACGCGUUGACUUUUGACUUUAACGGUGGACUUUUUUUUCAUUGGUCUGAAUCUGAAGGUUCGUUUUAUCGUUUAUACAUGCUCUCAUGUGUUUUCAUUCAUCAAAUGAUGCUUCUCACGUUAAGUGAUACUUUUCAUAUAUAUUUUGGGUAUAAUUUGUCAUAUAGUUUACACCUUAAUUAGAUAUCAAGACAACAACGUCAAAAAGCGAAGCCAUGCAGAAGAAAAACAACAAAAGCAAUUAUUAUUUAUUGUAGAGAAAAACAAAUAACGGUUCUUCACUGAAAUGACAGUUUUUUGGAGCUAAAACUUUACUAAAUAUGAAACCUAGAUCAUACUAAAUAAAAUCUACUUUUCACUAUAAUCAUUGAAUGAUAUAGAUAGUGUGUAUUAGUUUGUAAUGUAAAUUAAAAAUACGAUUAGAAUGAUUGUGGAUGACGAUAUUUUAUUCGGUCGACGUUGCAGUAUUACGGAAUAAGACCGAUUUCAAUUUUUAAAGUUUGAAGACCCAUUCUUGCUAUGGAAAAUCUCAUUAUUUUUUUCUGGAUGGAUGGAUUUUCAAAGACUCAUUCGUAUUUUUAUUAUGUGGUGGAAUCUACACAAAAAUUUCUCGUUCGGCGGCUAACUAAUUGGUAAAGUAUAAAACUACAUUUUAUUAUAUAUGUUCUUAAUGUAGAGCCAAAACAAAUUAAGCUUUUAGUUGUGCAAAGGUUGACAAAAAAAAAGUCAAUAAACCCAUUUCUUUUUCUGAUUUCUUAUUCCAAAAUAUAAACUAAAAUUCUAUUCCUUACUAUCUGAGUAUCUUCUUCCCUAAAUUCAUGAUUAAACUUCUAAGAAAAUCACAAUCUCUAUGAAACAAAUCUCAUCUUUCGAAGAAGAUAUUUAGUUAUAAAAAAUUUCAAACAGAUAUUUUUUUGUUUCUUCUUAAAAAAAUCACAAUUCAUCGUACUAUCUUAUUACUUUGGAUUUAUUCAUCUCAUGUCGAUUAGUGCCUAAAGAGUUAUAUGAAAUACGUGAUUAAAAACAAUCCUAAUUCAGAGAGAGUAUCUAACUUAAACGACAUCAAUUAGCCUUAUGUGUUGUAAACUACACGCCGUUUUUAUGCAUCUUAAACGACAUAAAGUUCUUGCCUUAAACCCUACCAUCGUCACUCCGACCUCAAUAGUAGUCGAUAGGUUAGAGAAGAAACAAGAUUUUGAUCGAUUCUUAACUACAACCAAAAUGAAUUUCCGUAAUCUGAUUACUUCCGGUUCUCGCCUCGGCAAGAGAUUCUGUGCAACAGUCUUUGCUCCGGCGUCGGCGACUGGCGUCGUCGAAGCCUCUGUUUCUUCUCCAGCGGCGGCGAAUGGCGUCGAAGCCUCUGUUCCUGCUCCGACGGCGGCGUCAAGGCAGCGAGAGUUGUACAAGAAACUAUCGAAGCUUAGUGUGGCGGGAGGGACAGUGGCAGAGACGUUAAAUCAGUUCAUCAUGGAGGGUAUUACGGUCAGAAAAGUCGAUCUCUUUCGCUGUGCGAAGGACCUUCGCAAAUUCCGUCGACAUCAACACGCUCUUGAGGUCCCAUUUUCUUAUCUCUUAAGCAACUAUUUGAUUUUAGAUUCAAGAUCUUUGUCAAAAGUUUUGUGAUUUCACUAACUUUAGGAUUAAAAAUGACAUUUUUAAGUUUGUGAGUUCACUAGUUUUAGAGUUUGAUUGAUUAAGGACAUUGUUAAUGGAAUUUCAGAUCUUUGAUUGGAUGGAGAAGAGGAAAAUGACAUUUUCUGUCUCUGACCAUGCAAUUCGUUUGGAUCUAAUUGCAAAGGCUAAAGGCUUAGAAGCAGCUGAGAACUAUUUCAACAACUUAGAUCCUUCUGCAAAGAAUCAUCAGUCGACUUACGGGGCGCUCAUGAACUGUUACUGUGUGGAACUUGAGGAAGGGAAAGCAAAGGCUCAUUUUGAGAAAAUGGAUGAGCUUAACUUUGUUAACAAUUCGUUACCGUUUAAUAACAUGAUGUCUAUGUACAUGCGGUUGAGUCAACCCGAGAAGGUACCUGUUUUGGUUGAUGCAAUGAAGCAGAGGGGUAUAUCUCCUUGUGGGGUAACUUACUCUAUAUGGAUGCAGAGCUGUGGAAGUUUGAAUGACUUAGAUGGAUUAGAGAAGAUUAUUGAUGAAAUGGGCAAAGACAGUGAAGCUAAAACCACUUGGAAUACUUUCUCUAAUCUAGCUGCAAUCUUCACUAAAGCAGGUCUUUACGAGAAGGCAGAAUCUGCGCUGAAAUCUAUGGAGAAGAAGAUGAACCCUAACAACCGUGAUUCCCACCAUUUUCUCAUUAGUUUGUACGCUGGAAUCUCGAAAGGUACUGAGGUUUAUAGAGUUUGGGAAUCGCUGAAGAAGGCUCGUCCUGAGGUCAACAACUUGAGCUAUCUUGUCAUGUUACAAGCAAUGAGUAAACUCGGCGACAUAGAUGGGAUUAAGAAGAUUUUCACAGAGUGGGAAUCAAAAUGCUGGGCGUACGAUAUGAGGCUGGCUAAUAUCGCGAUUAACACGUAUUUGAAAGGGAAUAUGUAUGAAGAAGCAGAGAAGAUUCUUGAUGGUGCCAUGGAAAAGUCUAAAGGACCUUUCUCCAAAGCGAGACAGCUUCUGAUGAUCCAUCUGUUAGAGAAUGGUAAAGCGGAUUUGGCUAUGAAGCAUUUGGAAACAGCAGUUUCUGAUCCCGCAGAGAACAAAGACGAAUGGAGCUGGAGCUCAGAGCUAGUCAGCUUGUUUUUCCUUCACUUUAAGAGAGCUAAAGAUGUUGAUGGAGCAGAAGAUUUCUGCAAGAUUUUGUCAAAUUGGAAACCUGUUGAUUGUGAAACUAUGAGCUUUCUCAUAAAGACUUAUGCAGCGGCAGAGAAAACUUGUCCUGAUAUGCGAGAGAGAUUGUCUCAACACCAGAUCGAAGUAAGCGAGGAGAUCCAAGACUUGCUUAAAACAGUUUGUCCUUAAAUUAACAUUGCAGUAAUUGGUAAUGAUUGUUAUUUGAACAUUAUGUUUAAACUUGUGUCUCGUUUAGAGUUCAAUCUUCUUGAAUCUUGUUUCAGAAAACAAAGCUUAGCUCUUUUUAGAGUCCUUGACAAUGUGUCGGUUACAUAUGGGAAGAUUUUAUAAAAUUAGCUUUGUUUAUGUUGUGGAGUACUCAUCAACAAAAUUUAUCACUUUUAAAAAAAAUUGUCAACCAAUAAUAUGUUUGUUUAUCCAAAUCCGAUAACCGACUUACUUGUUAAGUGUGGGUGUGGUCCAUGACCCAUGUUAUUGUUAGUGCCACCAACUAAGUUAGGAAAAUGUUUUAAAAAAAAAAAAAAAAAAACUUUAUCCACAAGAGAAAAAUUACUGGUUAAAACUUAAAAAUAGCUUUAGAAAGGACAAAUUACAAAUUAAAUACUGUAAAAUUUAGUAAAUCUACAGUUUCUUUAACUGCCUAUUUCCUUUUUGAUUCUAUCUUUUACAAUUGGAAACUAAAUAUUUGAUAAUCAAUUUUAUCCAAUUGUGAUAAGCCUAAACAAAUCUGAUUUUUUUUUUUGUACAAUAAAAGGAGAGAGAAAUAAAUAAAAACAAUCGGCGUUAGAUUCUGUAACAAGCUGGCACGUCUCUGUAUCAGUCGCAACGUUCCUAUUUCUUUCUUUGUCAAUCCGUUCGGCGACACAACAAUCCAAAAAAACAUUCUUAGCUUUUUUUUUCUGUUUCUUUAUAUACUUUUACACAACGCGGAGAUAAUCUCGGAUACAAAACAGAGAAGAUAAAGGACAAGUCUUUCUCAAAUUUUCCACCUUGAAGAACCCUAAUUUGAGGUUAGUACUUCUACUCUUAAUCCUUCUUCUCUUUUUUUCCAGUGCCGCAUUCGCAAGUUCUUCCUUAUUCCAAGUUAUUAAUGGGUUUUGACACUCGUUGCGAAAGGUUUGAACUUUUUCUGCUUCGAUUGAAUUCUCUGUGAUUUGUGUAUUUUUGCAGAGUUUCGUCUUAAGUCUGUAAUCAUUGUUUAGCUUAGGGCUUUUCUUCGAGAACUGGUGCUGCAUUGUUGUCUCUGUUCACCUGUUUGUUUUGCUCUGUCUCCUUGUGAGAGAAUUUGGGAAAUCGAAUUUUGAGUAUAGUGAUUUCAAAAUUCUCUUCAGUUCCCUAAUAAUAUAUAAGGAUUGUUCGUGGAUGAGUUUAAAGGUAUAUAAGUCACUGAUUUUGGUGAGUUAAGCAAAAUCAAUUGUCAUGGUUACUUUCUCUUCUUUGUUAGGGUUUUAGGUGAACCAGAAGAAUUAGUAUUCUUCUGUACCCGUUUGUCUUUAUUACUUUUGUGUGUGUUAAGGAUGAUUGGUAUGCUAAUCUCUCCUAUCAUUCGUUUUUCAUGUUCUAGGACGAUUGAGGAAGUUGCGAGUUUCGAAAGCUGGAAAGCGGUUUAUCCAGGGAGGAGUAAAGGGUUGAAUCAGCAUUUGUGUUUGUGGGCUUUAAGUAGGUGCAGUUUGAGGAGAGAAAGUUAGUGUGGGAUGGAUCAAAUGUUUUCAGGAGAACAAGAUCUUGAAGUGGAUAUUGAAGCUGGUCGAUCUGAUGAUACACAAGAAUCCACAUCAGAUACUGUUUCAGGCAAUGGGGUCUGGAGUGACCGGGUGAAUUUCGGUGUGUCUGAAAAGAUUGCUGAUGAUCUGAUCUAUCCAUUAAUGGGAGACGAAAAGCGGGUAGAAACUAGCAGUCAAAGUUUGGAUCUUUCAGAGAAAAAAUGCGAUAAUGGAAAGUUUAAGAAGUCGAGAAAAGCUUCAAAGCCUCCGAGACCUCCAAAAGGCCCUUCCUUGAGUGAGAACGACCGUAAGAUCAUGAGGGACAUACAAGAGCUAGCUAUGAGAAAGCGUGCAAGGAUUGAAAGGAUGAAAAAUUCCCUAAAAAGAAUGAAAGCAACCAAGUCGUCACCAUCAUCUCCAUGCAUUAGCAUUUUUUCGAUGAUAAUAACAGCUCUAUUCUUCGCCUUUCUAGUCUUCCAAGGUACCUUUUUCAGUCUCUUAGUGAACAUUAGCUUUUUUCUUAUUCCCUUUUCAACUCUGAAUUAAUCCAAAAAUUGCUACUUUGGCCUUGAUAUGAAUUUGACUCUGAAGAAAGAUUCUCUAUGGUUGAGAUUCAUUGGUUUAAGAUACUCUGGCUUAACUUGAAAACUAUCUAAUUAGUCUUUUAUCAUCAGAUUUCUUGGAUAAACAGAGUUUGUUCUGUUGUUGUUUCACGGGGAAGACCAAAAACGUCUUAAAAACAACUCUUGUUUUGGUGUUGCAGGAUUCUCUGCAAGCAGUUCGAGUUUGAGUUCGGAUAAAUCACCUGCACCAACUGUUUCACCUAACAACCAAUUGAUUUCAGUUCACUUGUACAAUGAUUUUGCUCCCGUUGAGCAAACCGAUCCCAGCCCGACCACCUCAUUCAGGUAAGAAGAAGAAGAAGAACAACAAUUUCUGUAACUCAUUCUCAUUGUUAAAUCAAAGAAGACACUUUCUAAAAACCAGUGCUAAUAUGAACAAUUUUGUCCUUUGAAUGAAUCUCUGUAAAUUCAGGUACACGAGGAAGCGAAUUUCGGGUGCAGAGGAAGAAGACUCGAGAGACGUUACUAGAUGAGUUCUCUGUUUGGUCUUCUUGACUCAAACGGUUAACUCUUUUGGUCAAAGUUUUGUUCAUAGGCUAAAAUUUGUAUAAAACGACUGCGUUUUAAACAAUGAGGAUGAUAUUUCACUAACCGGGAGAGUUUUCAAUUGUAUUUUGAAAAUAAAAGAUUGUGAGCAUCGUAGGAAUUUCGUGAUUGGGGUAUUUAAUGAAGAUGUAAAACUUGUUGUUGACCGUACAAUAGAAAAAAUUAAUUUUUUGUUCAAUGCGAAAAAUCUGAAAAUGACUUCCAUACCAAUUGGAUUCUGCAACGUUUAUGGUCUAUAACGAUAUCUAACAUUUCAAACCCUACACAAAUAAAUUCUAUAUGUCAAAAACAUAAUUUUUCUACUCAAUAUAGAAAUUUUCUUUUUGAUGAGAAAAUGAAUUUUAUGGCUGGUCUAUCUGCUAAGUGUUACCCUGCAAGAGAAGAGAUAGCAAUCCACAAAAUUAUUUUUUUUGUCGUAUAUGAUAAUAAUAUAGUUGUAGAAGUGUAAUCAAUCCAUUUUAUAAUGUCAAGAUUAUCAACUUUUGUUUAGUAUAUAUAUCUCUACAGAAUGAGAAUUAGAAAUACUUUUAAUAGAGGCUUUUAUUGGAUAUACGAAAAAUCAUUGACAAUUUGCGUAUUUGACUAAAGUUUCUAAAUAAAAGAAAAGUACACCCAAUUGGAGAACUUUCGUCUUCAAGUUGAACUGAUUAAUGAAUUUAAUUUUGUAAUUAACAUCGAAACUUUAGUGUGAACAUAUGUAUACAUACAUAUACAUCUACUCCUUUCUUUGGUUAUGAUUAUUUUGGAGAGUACAUACAUAAAUUAGGUAUACGUCGCACAUGAUUGAAUGUUUGAAAAUUUUCAGACAUAACACUAAUUCAUAUGAUUAAUACAUUUUCUACGAUUUUUAGACAUGUCUUGUACAAUACGGCCCAAAUUUCUCCCUUUGUUUCAAACUGAUAUCUAUUUUAUCUUUUACCUAUUUUCAUAUAUAAAAUGUCCUUAAACAUUUUUAUAUUCUUACUAAUGUAUUUUCAUUUGGCUAUAACUCUCUAUAAUUAAGGUUUUUUUUUAUACUUAGGACGUCCUAAUUAGUUCUUAGCCACUGAUGGACAUUUCAUUUCUUAGAACAUUUAUUGAAAAUUAUACCUCAUGUCUUGUAAAACAGAUUUAGAAUUUUGAAAUAACAAUCCUUUGUGUAAUUCGAAAGCUAGAAUACAAUAACAUGUAAAUUUUUAUUUCUGUUAUUAGAAAAAUAACCAAUCGAAGAGAACAAUUCGCAACACUAAACGGAUCUCCGUCAGUAUAAUCUCUUAGUCAACUUUAUUCUUUUAUUAUUUUUUCAAAUGAUAAAUGUAGUCAAGUGGCUCGAUCUCUCAGCAGCCGAGUGAUUGGAAAUUGAAACUAAACUAUAAGUCUACAGCUAAAAGACUUGUAUGCUUGAGAAUUAACAUUAGUGUAUUCAUAAUAUUUGACUCAUAUUCUUAUAUUCACAUUCAAUAUCUGUUAGUUAAUUUAUCUCUGGUAGAAAACAGAUUUAAGUUAACAAACUCUAAUUAGAUUAUUUGUUUUCUAUAUUUAAUUUAUAUCAGAACCGAACCUAAAAAAGAAGCCGACUUCAAAUUGAAUUAUUCCUUGAGUCUCACAUUAUAUCUUUUCGUAGAGACACAUUAAUAUUUUGAAUAGAUCAAACCGAACUAAAUAUCGACGCGUGCGUGUACUUUUCAGAUUGAAACAUUCAGAUCAUUAAUUAUAAUCAUGCAAGCUGUACGGGAAGGAAGAAGUGGAACCAUCAUCGAUGGCAUUCCUUGUAAAUAUUAAACACGUUCGAAGGGUAUUUUCGUCAUGGUAGCAUUAUAUAAAUGUCAGCCCCUUCCGUUUCUCUCGACAUGCAGAGUCUAGAAUCCAGUGACGCCAUAUACUAUAGUAAUUGGAAAACGAGAGGUCAAAACCAUGUCCGGUAAUAAGAUCUCGACUCUUCAAGCUCUUGUCUUCUUCUUGUACCGGUUUUUCAUUCUCCGUCGUUGGUGUCAUCGUAACCCUAAACAAAAAUUCCAAAAAUGCCCUUCUCACGGCCUCCACCAAGCUCAAGACCUAUCGAAUCACACUUUGAUAUUCAACGUCGAAGGAACUCUACUCAAAUCAAACUCUUUAUUCCCUUACUUCAUGGUUGUAGCUUUCGAAGCCGGAGGGGUAAUAAGGUCACUUUUCCUCUUCGUUCUGUAUCCAUUUAUAAGCUUAAUGAGCUACGAAAUGGGUUUGAAGACGAUGGUGCUGUUGAGCUUCUUCGGAGUUAAAAAGGAAAGUUUUCGAGCCGGGAAAGCAGUUUUGCCUAAGUAUUUUCUAGAAGAUGUUGGGCUCGAGAUGUUCCAGGUUUUGAAAAGAGGAGGCAAGAGAGUUGGUGUGAGUGAUUUACCACAAGUUAUGAUUGAUGUGUUCUUGAGAGAUUACUUGGAGAUUGAAGUUGUGGUCGGAAGAGACAUGAAAAUGGUCGGUGGUUACUACUUAGGCAUCAUGGAGGAUAAGAAGAAACAUGAGUUUGCUUUUGAUAAAGUGGUUCAAGAAGAAAGGCUUAGCAGUGGUCGUCUUAUUGGCAUCACUUCCUUCAACUCGCCAAGUCACAGAUCUCUAUUCUCUCAAAUUUGCCAGGUAAAUUAUCAUUAUAUGUAUUUUUUUGGUGAUUCUAAAAGAGGGUUUGGUCCAACAAUUGAUGGUCUCAUUAAAAACAGACGUAACUGUAAUUUUCUGAGACAGACAAAGACAAAUCCUUAUGUUGCUUUUCUAAUUUUGUAAAAUAAAACAGUACGUUUUAGUUUGUUGAAUUUUCGAUAUUUAGGAACUUAAUAAUAUUAAAAUAUAUGAUAUAAAUAUAAGUUCCAAUAGAAUUUCUUUGGUUUUAAAUGUGGCUCUUUAAACGAAGAGAGAUGCAUUGAUAUUUUUAAAAAAAUAUAAAAUGCAAUUAAUUUCCAUUGACUAAGAAUUGCUGUAAUCUAGUACUGCGUCACAAAUCAGACUAAUAUAGCAAGUAAAUGCUAUUUUGAAUAUUUUUUGAAAUGAAUAUGUUAUUAAGUUCUGAUGCAAUUAAUUCAACCAUAGAUUACGACUUGUAUAAUCCUUACAAUAAAGUUGUAGUAAUAUUUUUUCAUGCAACAGGUCCACUUCAACUGAUAUAUUUCAUUUCCUAAUGAUAAUCUUUCCCUAAUGCAUUUUUCAUAAACAGGAGAUUUACUUCGUCAGGAAUUCAGACAAGAAAAGUUGGCGAACCCUACCACGAGAUCAAUACCCUAAACCAUUGAUUUUCCACGAUGGUCGUUUAGCGAUCAAGCCAACACCUUUAAACACAUUCGUAUUAUUCAUGUGGGCCCCAUUCGCCACAGCCUUAGCCGCUGCAAGACUCGUCUUCGGCCUAAACCUACCUUACUCCCUAGCCAAUCCUUUCCUCGCCUUUUCCGGUAUCCACCUUACUCUCACCGUUAAAGACCUAAUUACUUCCGAUCGUAAAAAAGGUUGUCUCUUUGUGUGCAACCAUAGAACGUUACUAGACCCACUUUACAUUUCAUACGCUCUAAGAAAGAAAAACAUCAAAGCCGUUACAUAUAGUCUAAGCAGAUUAUCUGAGCUUCUAGCUCCGAUCAAGACCGUUAGAUUGACUCGUGAUCGAGUCAAAGAUGGUGAAGCCAUGGAGAGAUUGUUAAGCCAAGGAGAUCUCGUGGUUUGUCCGGAAGGGACUACGUGUAGAGAGCCUUACUUGCUUCGGUUUAGUCCACUUUUCUCCGAGGUUUGUGACGUCAUUGUACCUGUUGCUAUUGACUCACACGUGACAUUUUUCUAUGGCACGACGGCUAGUGGUCUUAAGGCCUUUGAUCCCAUUUUCUUCCUUUUGAAUCCUUUUCCUUCCUACACCGUCCAAUUGCUUGACCCUGUCUCUGGAAGUACAUCGUCCACGUGUCCAGAUCCUGAUAAUAGAAAAGCGAAGUUCGAUGUGGCUAAUCACGUGCAGCAUGAGAUUGGGAAUGCGUUGGGGUUCGAGUGCACCAACCUCACGAGAAGAGAUAAGUACUUGAUCUUGGCCGGUAAUAACGGAGUUGUCAAGAAAAAAUAAUGGUUUUGAAUUUUUUUGUUUGUUUUCUUAAUUAGGGCCUUUUUGUGUGACGUACCAAUAUGCUUUAUCUCUUAUAAGAAACUUUUCUAUGAUGUAACUAUCUUUUUUUGUUAAAUGUAAUUAUCUUUUUGUGUGACCAAUACGAUAUAUAUGUACAUGCAUUACUGAUAUCCUAUAACGGCUUGGCCGUAUCUUCAUAGUGAAAACUCCAAAUAACUGACAUGCAUAUGUACUCCAUUAAAUGUAUAUUUAUUUUGCUAGUGUUUUUAUAUAAAGUAAGGUAAAUAUCAAUAUUUUUAUACAAAAUAUAAUGGUAAGUGACUAAUUAGUGUCAUUUGAAUUCUGACAGAGUUACCAAAAUUUUUUUUUUUUGGUCGACCAAAGAGUUACCAAUUUAAAGACAUCAAUUAGGAAAAGUAUUAGAAGCAGAGCCGGUUAUUGGCAUGUGCAAGUGGUGCAUUUAUACCGGGUUCAACAAAUUUAAGGUCCAAAUUCAUAGUUUUUCUAUUAUUUAACUAUUUAAUUAUGCUGAAAGUUUAUAAAAUAUUUAUAUGUAAAGGUCCUAAAAUUCUAUUUUAAAAGGUAAUAUUGAAGCCCAAAAUUAAUAAACAAAAAUAACAGGUCCAAAUAGCUAAAAAUACAAAAUAGUUUAUGAAAUAUAACUUUUUGUAAAAAAAAAUGAAAAAAAAAUAUAUAACUUUUUUGUUCUUUAUCCAAAUUUUUUAUUAAAGAUAGGAUUUUUUUUUGUAUGGCACCGGGUCUUGCCGACAAGUGAGCCGGACCUGAUUAGAAGAUGUUAUAAAUUAAUUAGAUAUGAGAUUUUUUUGUUUUCCCAGACAAUUUCAAGAUAUUUAGAGUGGGACUCAUGCCGAUAAUUGUGGCCUUGUGGGGUUAGAGUUUGUGUGUCAACCCUACGCAUCUUCCCACCUAACUAUGUUUAAUGCUUCUUCAAUCUUUGUCUAAUUUCAUUGAGCGGCGAAUUAAAAAAUUGUUUUACAGAGGAAGAAAUAAUUUUAACCAACAAGAAUAAAAUAUUUAUGUAUAUAACAGAUAAAAGUAAAAACUUUUCUUAUACCAACAAUAAAAGAAAAGUUAAAAACUUUUUCACCGGUACGUGUGAUAUAACUUACCUGAAUCGUGUAAAACUUUUUUUUUUGUCGUAAUCGUGUAAAAGUAAUUUAAUACUCGCCAACAUCUGUAAGAAAACAAAACGUCAGAAAAAAUAGUUUGACAAAUUGUAAGGAGUUUGGUUAGAAACUUAAAUCCUAAAUGGGAUUUUGUGCCUUUCUCUAUUGCCUAUAAAAAUCAGCUUGGUCCAAAAAGUUAAAAAGAAAAUUAAUGGCAUGACUACAAAACUUUAAAUACUUAGAUAGCGCAAAAAAAAAAAAAGGAUAACAUGUUAGAAUGUCUCUAUUCUCUAAGAUGCUCGAACAGUUUUUUUUUUUUUCACUUCUAUUAGCCUAAACAAUCAAUAUAAAACAUAAAACAUAUAUCAGAGUUAAAAUAUUUAAUUACUAAGUAGUAACAUAUCGUCCAAGUAUUGAAUAGUUAUUCAUAACUAUAACUACAACAAUUCAGGAAUUACCAAUUAUUGUUGCCAGAGUGAUGGGCCGGGCCGGGCCAGGCCGAAUUGUUAAACUUAACGACUUCUUGGUCUGAGUAGGACUAGGAGACAGGACCAUUUCAAUAUACAGGUACCAUUGAGCCGAAACCUGCUACUGUUCUUGUCACUUCUUGCUAUAACUUCGGCCAAAAUGUUUGUUAUAUGUUAAAAACGCGAUUUAACGAUCAAGAACUACGGGCCAAUUUUUGUGUGCGGAAGAAGAGGACUGUCUUGUAAGCAAUACUACACGAUUGGAAUGCGAAUAUAUACCACAAUUAUGAUCUGAGAAAAUACCACAAUCAUCUGAACAACAUAAUAAUUUUAUAAAAAUAUUUUUAUUUUAAAAGUAGGCAAGGAAAACGAAAGAACUUCUCUUCCGAAUUUUUUUUUUUUUUUCUCUUCCGAAUUUCCUACCAAAUAAAAUAAUAAGAAGAAGAAUUGACAAAAAUGCAUUACCGAGUCUAAUCCGACGUGCUCACCAACUAUCCACCAUUUGUUUUCGAUGUUGUGGUGUGGAGCUUUCAUAUCUGCUGCAUCAUUAUUAAAAAAUAAAAUUUCACAUACAUUAAACGCAUAUAAUUAAACUUAUAACUUAUAACCUACGGCUUUAUGUAUGGAGCCAAUUUUAAUUCUCACAUGUUAAAUGAGAUUUGAAUGAUUUUGAAUUGAAAAAUGAUCAAUCUGCAAGAUAAUCGAGAUGGCUAAUUUAGUCGAUCGUUUUCUCCCCUUCUAUAUUAUGGUUGGACAUUUGUGUCGCCGGUUCUUUGCAUGCCACCAACUAAAUAAUUUGUGAAUAAUAUUUUCAUAAUUUUAGUAUUUCGUAAUUGCACAAAGUAUAUAGAAAACAAAAAAUAUACAUUUCAAUUCUUAUAUUGGCAAUCAUAUAUCAUGAUCGGACAAUUCUUAUAUUAUCCUCCCCCACAUAAUUAUGACACUAUGUCGGACACAUAGUGUUGACUAUGUCUUAAGAAAAAUAAGUAAUUUGAUAUUUUAAGAAGAGAGGAAAAAGCAUUUCAACGACCUAAGAGAUUCCAACGGCCGGUUUGCUCAUCCCAUUCCCAUGCAUGUGCCAUCCCAUUUGCUUUUUGUAGUUUGUGUCGCCGGUUCUUUGCAUGCCACAAACUAAAUAAUUUUAUUACAAACCUAAUUAUAUUUAUUGAAUACACUGCUCGUAAUUAGUAUAUUUCCUGUUCCGACAUUAGCCCAAAUUACGGUUAAAAACAUAUGUAUUCAUGCAUCCAGGUUCAUUUAAACUCGUAGAUGUGAUCUACUCAUCGUAAGACUUCAUUGGUCUUAAUAUUAAUAUGAUCCAAACCUCCAUACUAGUCAUAUUUAUCGAAAUUGGUAUUUUUUUCUUAUCAAUAUUGAAAUUAGUAUCUAUGCUAUAUAAUCUAACAAUGCUGAUAUACUUAAAUUGAAUACGAGUAAAAUAAAAACAUAAAUCAUAAAUGAAUGAAAAAAAAAUAGAAAACCUUAGAUUGGAUGUCUUGGAGUUGGGUGACCGACUGUCUACUUUAAACUCAUAAUUGAUCUAAAAUAUGUGUAUAUAAGUUCAACAUGACGUAUAAAUCAUAAAUUAAUAUGGAAUUGUUUUACAAAUGGUCACCAAAAUUUAAAAUGAUACUAUUAGUUAGGUUUGAUAUAACCGAUAUGUAUGUUUCAUUCACGGGGAUAAUGUCGGCUAAUAUGUCAGAUGACAUGUUCCAUUGAUCCAUACUGUCUCUGGUCAACUUUUCUCCCAUACUUCUUCUUAUAUUUUAUAACUUAAAUAUUUAAAUGAAUCGAAAGUAUCCAUAUCUCUCAUUUAAUUUGUUGUUCGAAUAUUGUAAAAUAAAAUAAAAAAAUGUUGUCCAAAUGUGGCUUUUUCCAAUUUGAUCCGGUUAAUCUCUAUAUUUUUCCGAUUAAAAGUUUGCGGUUCACUUUUGUACCUAAGAACAACUUGAUUUUUUAUUAUAUCAGCUGAUUACAUUGUUAUUUUAAAAACGUCCCCUUGAAUUGUUAUCAACUAAAUAUUUGUUUGAAUAAACUUAAAAAAAAAAAAAAAAAAAUUGACUGCUAAACUUUUGUUUGUAAAAAAACUUCUACUAAAGAACGUGUUUGUCUUUAGAAACAAUCAGUAUCCAGGUUUUCAAAUGUACGCGACUGAACGAGAACUCCAAUGCAAAUUUUUGAAAACCAAUGAACUAAAAAAAGUGGUCAUAUAAUAAUAAGUAAUACAGUAAAUGGGUAGGUACUAGGUAUUGGUGGAGAAAAGAGUUGAGAGGUUGAAAGGAUAUGGGCUAUGAAAAAGAGUCUCUUAGUUAAUCGGACGGCUAAUGGUAGCCGUCAAGGUUGACCAUUUCCACUACGUGCCGACAUAUCAGCCUUACACAUGCCCAUCCUCCUCACCUUUCCCACUUCCUUGUGACUCUUUUCCACGCGCUUCUUCUAGCAUUUGCUUCUUCUUCCUUUUUGCCUCUUCAUCAGAAAAAUAUUAGUAUAAAUUUAAAUAGAUAAACGAAAGACAAAUCCUGAAAAUGUUAAUUUACAUUUUGUUGGUCACGAUUAACAAAUUAUCAAUUGUGAUGCAUGUUUAGAUAGGCUAGGUGCAUAGGUUAAUUCUCUCUAGCUUGAAAAAAAAGAGACACCCAUUAGUAUUUCUCAAAGCUGAAAUACAAAACUCACAUUUUUUAGAAAAAUCUAAACUAGUUCUUCGGAUUUUUUUUUUAAAUAAAUCAUAAACUGUUGUUAUUUUUUUGCCAAACUUAUCAAUAUUCUAAUAUCUAAGAUCGGACUCUUCCUAUUAACAAUCUCAAUCACAACAAUAAUUGAUCAACUUCUAUUGUAUACUUUAAUUCAUUAAUAAGAAAGCAAUAUUAAAUAUACGCGAGUCUUAUGACUAAUCAAACACGGUGAUUUAGGCAAUAAGUGCUCAAUCUUUAAAUUAUUUUAAGAAUUGAACAUAUCAACAUCUACUACUUAAUUUCAUAUCACCAAAUUUCAAACUACCCGAUUUUAAUAAUAACAAGGUUGCGCAAGAAUGUUGACAAAAAAAAAGUUGUAAAUGUAUAAUACAAUUUUUUAAGAAAAAAUAUAUCAAAUAUCAUAAUCUUAAAAUAAUUUGUUUUGUACAAAUUAAAAUCCAUUAUAAUGGAGAGAAACAUUGUAUAUAUAAUUUCAUUAUUAAUAGACAUGCUAUACUCAUCUUGGCAAUACUUUUGUUUUUAAAGAACUCGACCGUCCCCAUUGAUGACAUGCCCACCUUACGCGAUUUAUAUGAUGAGACGAUUACUUUAAAUUUCCCCAUUUGUCAACCGUAGAAUUUAAAACUAAAUUCGAAAAAGACUUUAAAUAAAAAUAUUUAUUUUAUCCAAAAUCUACCUUUCUUCUCUUCCCAUACACUAUAUAUAAUCGUCACUCUUCUUCUUUCAGAUUCAAAACCUCCUGCUUCAUUCUUUACUACUAAUAAUAAUUUUAAAAGUAAAACAAAAGGUUAUGGUUUUGCCAUCUUCAACACCGUUACAAAUCACCGGAAAGAAGACGAAAUCCUUACCGGAAUAUAGCUUUCCGGUGAUCGAUUUCUCCUUAAACGAUCGGUCAAAACUAUCGGAGAAGAUCGUAAAAGCCUGUGAGUGUAAUGGGUUUUUCAAGGUGAUAAACCACGGAGUUAAACCGGAGAUAAUAUCGAGAUUCGAGCAUGAAGGAGAAGAGUUCUUUAAUAAACCGGAAUCGGAUAAGCUACGAGCCGGUCCGGCGAGUCCUUUCGGUUACGGAUGCAAGAACAUCGGCUUCAACGGCGAUUUGGGUGAGCUUGAGUAUCUUCUUCUCCACGCAAAUCCGACAGCUGUCGCUGAUCAAUCUGAAACUAUAUCUCAUGAUGAUCCUUUCAAGUUCAGGUACGUAUACAUAUUUCACUUUCUUUUUUUCGUACAUGUUUUACAUAUUAUAAAACUUAAUUUAUAAAGCUAUCAAACUUUUCUUUU